rnacentral:tRNA from 1 species
GGGCGUGUGGCUCAGUGGUAGAGCGUCCGCUUUGCAUGGUACCAUGGUUUGCGGAAGGUCCAGGUUUCGAUCACCUGCCCGUCCA